rnacentral:rRNA from 1 species
GACGAACGCUGGCGGCGUGCCUAAUACAUGCAAGUCGAGCGAAGUUUUUCUGGUGCCUGCACCGGAAAAACUUAGCGGCGAACGGGUGAGUAACACGUAAAGAACCUGCCUCAUAGACUGGGACAACUAUUGGAAACGAUAGCUAAUACCGGAUAAUAGCAUUAACUGCAUGGUUGAUGUUUAAAAGUUGGUUUUGCUAACACUAUGAGAUGGCUUUGCGGUGCAUUAGCUAGUUGGUGGGGUAAAGGCCUACCAAGGCGACGAUGCAUAGCCGACCUGAGAGGGUGAUCGGCCACACUGGGACUGAGACACGGCCCAGACUCCUACGGGAGGCAGCAGUAGGGAAUCUUCCGCAAUGGGCGAAAGCCUGACGGAGCAACGCCGCGUGAGUGAAGAAGGAUUUCGGUUCGUAAAGCUCUGUUGUUAGGGAAGAAUGAUUGUGUAGUAACGAUACACAGUAGAGACGGUACCUAACCAGAAAGCCACGGCUAACUACGUG